rnacentral:rRNA from 1 species
UUAUUUGAAACAGGAUACAACCUCACACACCGGGUAAGCAAAAGAACAGCAAAACCAAGUGGGCCUAAAAGCAGCCACCUUUAAGAAAGCGUUACAGCUCCACCACCCCCAACCAAAAAUCAUUCCAACACUUUCUAACCCUUAACCUCUACUGAACCAUUUUAUAUUACUAUAAAAACUAUUAUGCUAGGACUAGUAACAAGAAUUUGCUUUUCUCCUUAAUAUAAACAUAAGCCAAAACGGACCAUCCAUUGGCAAUUAACGUUAAUGAACUAACUAUAAUAACAACCUUACUAGAAAACCCUAUAUUUUGUAACGUUAACCUUACACCAGAAUAUUUAAGGAAAGAUUAAAAGAAAAAGAAGGAACUCGGCAAACUUCAACCCCGCCUGUUUACCAAAAACAUCGCCUCUUGAUAAACAUAAGAGGUCCAGCCUGCCCAGUGACAAUGUUCAACGGCCGCGGUACCCUAACCGUGCAAAGGUAGCAUAAUCACUUGUUCUUUAAAUGAGGACUUGUAUCAAUGGCAUCACGAGGGUUGUACUGUCUCCUUUUUCCAAUCAGUGAAACUGAUCUCCCCGUGAAGAAGCUGGGAUUUUAAU